UNUGACUUGAGUGCAGAAGGGGAGAGUGGAAUUCCAUGUGUAGCGGUGAAAUGCGUAGAUAUAUGGAGGAACACCNGUGGCGAAAGCGGCUCUCUGGUCUGUCACUGACGCUGAGGCUCGAAAGCGUGGGUAGCGAACAGGAUUAGAUACCCUGGUAGUCCACGCCGUAAACGAUGAGUGCUAGGAGUUAGGCCCUUUCCGGGGCUUAGUGCCGGAGCUAACGCAAUAAGCACUCCGCCUGGGGAGUACGACCGCAAGGUUGAAACUCAAAGGAAUUGACGGGGGCCCGCACAAGCGGUGGAGCAUGUGGUUUAAUUCGAAGCAACGCGAAGAACCUUACCAGGUCUUGACAUCCCGAUGCUAUUCUUAGAGAUAGGAAGUUACUUCGGUACAUCGGAGACAGGUGGUGCAUGGUUGUCGUCAGCUCGUGUCGUGAGAUGUUGGGUUAAGUCCCGCAACGAGCGCAACCCUUACUGUUAGUUGCCAUCAUUAAGUUGGGCACUCUAGCGAGACUGCCGGUAAUAAACCGGAGGAAGGUGGGGAUGACGUCAAAUCAUCAUGCCCCUUAUGACCUGGGCUACACACGUGCUACAAUGGUCGGUACAACGAGUUGCGAGCCGGUGACGGCAAGCUAAUCUCUGAAAGCCGAUCUCAGUUCGGAUUGGAGGCUGCAACUCGCCUCCAUGAAGUCGGAAUCGCUAGUAAUCGCGGAUCAGCACGCCGCGGUGGAUACGUUCCCGGGCCUUGUACACACCGCCCGUCACACCACGAGAGUUUGUAACACCCGAAGUCGGUGAGGUANCCUUUUAGGGGCCAGCCGCCUAAG
rnacentral:rRNA from 1 species